rnacentral:rRNA from 1 species
AUGCAAGUAAUUCUGCUUGCCGAGCCUUGCAGCAACUUCUGUUUGGAAUAUAUUCAUGGCACUUACUGCUUACUUCCGUAUGCAGUGGCGGAGGUACACGAACUCUGCCUUGGGCGGGGGGACCGGGACGGGACAGAAUAUGAGAGUUCAAGUUUGGGGGGACCAAACAAUAAUUUUUUUUCCCACCUAAGCUCUCACUUAAAUAUUUCUUCAGAGGAAGAGUUCUAUGCCAUGACAUGGUUUAGCAAUUGGGCUGUGGAUGGCGAUCACAUUUCACAGCUCACAGGACUCUUUGGAGGCUGA